UACGAACUGUGCAAACGUUAUUCGGAAUCACUGGGCUUAAAGGGUGCGUAGGCGGCUUGUUAAGUAGGGUGUGAAAUCCCCCGGCUCAACCGGGGAACUGCGCCCUAAACUGGCGAGCUGGAGUGAGAUAGGGGUGUGUGGAACUUCCAGUGGAGCGGUGAAAUGUGUUGAUAUUGGAAGGAACGCCAGUGGCGAAAGCGACACACUGGGUCUCAACUGACGCUGAGGCACGAAAGCCAGGGGAGCAAACGGG
rnacentral:rRNA from 1 species